ACCCCAGUUUUACUGGGUGAGGGGGGAAGAAGUGAGGAGAAGCUGGUUGGAGCGUUACUAGGGAUACUGGAGAGCUCAGAUUGUAGGGAACUUAGCUUUGUGGAAACCGAGUUCUAACGUUUCUGUUGCCAGCUGCCUUAAAGUAGUCUCACAAGUCAGGCUAAAGUAAACACAGAGCUUGGACUUAGCUGAAGGAGUCUGAACUUCAUGCUUGUAGGCAAUGAAAGGUCACGUAGGGUCCUUGAAGAUUUCUGAGCAGAGUAAUGAUGUAAAUAAAACAGCAUUUUAAAGUUUAAACAGGAUGUAGGUUGCAGAGCCAGGAGGACAAUAUCUGAUGGAAAUUGACCUUGGCUGGUGGGGGGAAGGGCUACUAAGGGAGAAAAAACUUCCAAGGUUGUGGGCAUGGAGUUGCAUGGAAACGAAUAGCCUCAGGUAUCAAGUGUCAGGUGGUUGCAGAGGUGACCUGACCGUGUUUAUGUUCCAUGGAAAGAGAGCUCUGUGGCUCACAGGCGAUCCAUGGUAGAACAGGAAGCAGCCAGAAAAGACUCGGCUUUUCUGGUGACUCGGUCUUAAUCACAAGGCCCAGCUUGCGGGAAGGUGAAACCUACUGGAAUGAGAAGGCAGAGUUCAAAAUUAAACCUUGGAAAACUGAUCACGAAACCAAACUGGGCUCCUGUAGGUGACUUACUUGUUUGCUGUACUGCUGCUGUGUGGUCAAGUAUAUUUUGAACAGAAAAUUAAAGUAAUAUGCUUCUUCGAGCAAAAAGGUAAGAUUACAGAGGAAAUCAGGACAAGAUCAUAGGACCGAAUGUCAUUUAAAGGGGUGAAUUUUCUGUAACACUUGCAGAACAUGGGAGCGGAAUUCAUCACCAACCAACGGGGGAGACUUUCAGCUGGGGCUCUUCUCAUCGCUGUAUCGGGAAUCCAUUAGCUGAGAAAAGGAGAAAUGGUGUUGUCAUAUUAGCUUUUCCGCUGUUUCACUUAGCAGGUAUUUGACGGACAGGUCUUGACCCCAUACACAGAUGUUAACGAAGCAAGGAACGAGGCGGGCAGGCCCUAACCCUGGAUGACUCCAACAUCUGUCUUUGGCUGGUCUCUGCCUGGGCUGCUGAGUGCUGGUGGUGAAAAUCUCACGACAGGGCAGAUGGAUACUGAUGGAACGCAGGCUGCACCUGCAAACGGGCCCUUGACAUUGGCUAGCAGUCCUGCGAUGACCCGCCACAGGUGAGCUUUUCGAGAGAAAACCAAAGCCAUCUGAAAAGGAGCUGCUGCGACUUUGACCCAGUCUGCGGGUACACAGACAUCCAGACCUGGAUAGACCCCAGAGCAUGGCCGUGAUAUUUUGCAUUUCCCACCAGUGAGAGGCAGCGUUGACUUGCCGAGACUUCAAAGUUGGGCUCAUCCUGAGUCUUGAUUUCGCCAACAGAAGGUGCUGGGAGUGAGGCUGAGUCAGUUCCAGAGCCCGGGCCUCCAGAGAGCUCACAUUUUUACCUUGGCCCUUUGAGAGCUCCCCCAUGCGAUGGGAGGAAGCAUAGGGUUGACUGCUGAGUGGAGAAGCCCAUAUGGAGAGGACUGUGAAGGGCCAGCACCAGGGCUCCAGACACGUAAAUGAGGUCAUUUUAAACUAUCUGAGACCUUCCAGCCCCAGUCUAGCCUCUGCCUGCAGCCCAGAUGAGACCAGCAGAAAGAACCAGCCAGCUGAGCCCACCCGGCGUAAAGAAGGGUGAGAAAUAAUAAAUCGUUGUUUCACACCA